CUUCAUUACCUGGUAUAGUAUCAAAGUCAUAAAGGACAUUAUAGAAAACAUUACUGAUUCUUUAAAAUAUGACCGGGCUAAGAGUUUGGCUCGCUGAAGACCUUCGGAUAAUCGGACGGGCAUUUUGCUCUUGCUGUCCACUGCGGAAAUGUUCGACAUUGAUGGUACCAGCUAGUAUAGAAAUAUUUCUACUAGCAACUUGUUGCAUUCUGCAGACCACUGGGACAUUUAUGAGCGGAAAUGUUUCUAAAUGUGAACAGAAUGUGCAUGAUUUCGAAAAUCCGACCGCUAUUCCGCCUGGGGAAUGUUCUUUUGAAGUUGUGGACGUAUAUUAUUUAAAUGUUGCCUCGUCUAUUUUGUACGUAUAUUUGCUUUGCUUAGCUGUAUUUGCUUAUGUACGAACGGUCAGAUGUGGACGUGGUGGAAUGGAGGCGUGGGGCUUGUGUAACAUCUGCUGUUUGCCGAUUUUGAGUAUCAUUCCAGGUAUAUGUAUAUCUACAUAUAUUUUGUAAACAAUGCAUUUGUAUUUAUAUAGUUCAGUUCAAUAUGUUUUAUAGACGACAAGAGAGUGUGAAAAAAAUCAAGAUUUCAAGUUCUUUGAUUAAUAGGGAGCGUUGUAUUUGCUUACUGUGUUUAAAUUUACGCCUAUCACAGUGUUCCAUUCAGACAAUCACAUUUUUUAAAUUUUUCUUCCUGAACAACGGUUAUCGAAACCACGAUAAUAUUAAAAGUCUAGUGUCGAUACUAUGAUGGUGAAAGUAGAAAUCACGAAAGUUACAAUGAUGACGAUGCGGAACAGGGACGAAAUCGCACUGAUUACGAUGCGAAACAACUUCGUAAUCACAAUGAUAACUAUGCGAAACAACGACGAAAUCACAAUGAUAACGAUGCGAAACAACGUCGAAAUCACAAUGAUAACGAUGCGAAACAAUAACGAAAUCACAAUGAUAACGAUGCGAAACAACGACGAAAUCACAAUGAUAACGAUUCGAAACAACGUCGAAAUCACAAUGAUAACGAUGCGAAAUAACGACGAAAUCACUAAACCACGAUGACGAAUACGCGUUUUCACCAUCGUCGUUUUGACUUUAGACGAUUGGGAACGUGGAUUUGACUUUUUUCAUUUUUCAUUAUCGUUGUUGUGACUUUCACUAUCGUGGUUGUGACUUACAUUAUCUUUCAACUUUCUAUUCGUGUUUACACUAUCGCAGUUUUGAGUUUCCUGCUUUCAACGUUCCUCUUUGUUUUCACUUUCACCAUACUGCUUUCUGACAUACAUUAUCAAUGAUUCGACUUUAAUCACCAAAUCAAAUCAAAUCAAAUAUAGUUUAUUAGCAGUUAAAGGCCACCGGCCCAAAAUACAUUCAUAAAUGAUAUAACAUAGUGUAACAUGUCGAGAUAUGAUUCACACACAUACAUGUUUAAUACAAUGUAAAUAAUGUUGUUAUUGUUUAUGGUAUGAGUACGAAUUACAUUUCACCAUAUCGAUCUUUAGAUAUCCUGUAUAUAUACGUUUAUGCGUAUACAAUUUCAAGAAAAGCAACAUACAUUUAUUGACAUAUCUUUCGUGAGCAGUACUGUUUUUAGAAUUUACUUAAUCGACGCUUCUCAAUUGAAAUGCAUUAACUAGAAAUCCUGCUAAGGAGAAAAUACUAUCUGAUCUAUUAUCUGACAUUAUCGUUAUAAAUAACUGGUCACAUACUACACCAUUCACCCAUUCGUCUCUAAAAUACAUUUUUCUAAGUUCGUUGUACUGUGGACACACGAUAAGAAAGUGUAUCUCGUUUUCCACCGCAUAAACAUUUCUCUCCAAACAGUAUUUACAGUAUCUAUAGUCUCUAUCUAUGUUCUCGUGCCUACCCCUUUCAGUCAUUAGACAAUGACUUGAGCAUCGAAAGUUCGAUAGUGUACGCUUCUGAAUAUAUGUAUUUGGUAAAGACAGAUAAGUUUCUGUUUAAGUAGACUUUUAUAGAGUUUAUAUGAUAAAGCCUUCGGGGAAUAGCCAAUAUCAGCAAAUACAGAUUGUUUGGCACAGUCUUUCACCCUUUCAGAAAACGCAUGCAAGAAUGCGUUAGGGUCUCCGAUUUCACCGGUUAUCCAAGUGAAUCCAAAUCCAUAUUGGAACAAAAGCUGUUUGAUAUGCGUUGCCCACGUUGUUCGUCCUGCGUCAUCCAACCGUAAUGUCGUCUUCCCGUUACAUCUGAAAGUUGCUUUCCAUACAUACUGGCGAGACGCUUUUCUGUACCCUCUGCUUAAGACGCUUCGUGUGCCAUUAUGGCAAAAAGGCACUGCCAAGCUGUAUAUUAACCUCUUAACCCUUACCUUGCUAAAUUUCUAUAAUGAACUCGUCAAACUUUCAAUUUGGACAGGACCAU
rnacentral:lncRNA from 1 species